UCGUGCUAGAUGGGGAGGUAGCGGUGCCCUGUAACCUGCAAUCCGCUAUAGCAGGGUUGAAGUCCUGGUUGAGGCCUGCCAAUGUUAGGUCUGCCCUAGGUAAGUGGCGUUGAAGACUGGGUCCUGCGCAACGGGAAUCCAUGAACUCCGUCAGGUCCGGAAGGAAGCAGCGGUAAGUGGACACUCUCGUGUGCCGCAGGGGUGCCUGAUCUGAGUUAACUGCUUGGGUAACGCUGGUAUUUGUAUGUCGAUUCUAGGUGCACGA
rnacentral:SRP_RNA from 1 species